CGGACGGGUGAGUAAUGUCUGGGAAACUGCCCGAUGGAGGGGGAUAACUACUGGAAACGGUAGCUAAUACCGCAUAACGUCGCAAGACCAAAGAGGGGGACCUCCGGGCCUCGCGCCAUCAGAUGAACCCAUAUGGGAUUAGCUAGUAGGUGAGGUAACGGCUUACCUAGGCGACGAUCCCUAGCUGGUCUGAGAGGAUGAUCAGCCACACUGGGACUGAGACACGGCCCAG
rnacentral:rRNA from 1 species